rnacentral:rRNA from 1 species
GAUGAACGCUGGCGGCGUGCUUAACACAUGCAAGUCGAACGGGGAAGCAGAGCUUGCUCUGUGGAUCAGUGGCGAACGGGUGAGUAACACGUGAGCAACCGGCCCCCGACUCUGGGAUAAGCGCUGGAAACGGCGUCUAAUACUGGAUAUGAGCUGCGACCGCAUGGGCAGCAGUUGGAAAGAUUUUUCGGUCUGGGAUGGGCUCACGGCAUAUCAGCUUGGUGGUGUGGUAAUGGCGCACCAAGGCGUCGACGGGUAGCCGGGCUGAGAGGGUGACCGGCCAAACCGGGCCUGAGACACGGCCCAGACUCCUCCGGGAGGCAGCAGUGGGGAAUGUUGCACAAUGGGCGGAAGCCUGAUGUAGCCACGCCGCGUGGGGGAUGACGGGCUUCGGGUUGUAAACCUCUUUUAGCAGGGAAGAAGCGAAAGUGACGGUACCUGCAGAAAAAGCGCCGGCUAACUACGUG